AGCAGCCGCGGUAAUUCCAGCUCCAAUAGCGUAUAUUAAAGUUGUUGCAGUUAAAAAGCUCGUAGUUGAAUUUCGGGAUCAAUACGUCGGUCGUGCUUCGGUACGUACUGGCGUCAUUGGUUUCUCCCUUCUGACGAACCACGAUGUCAUUAACUUGGUGUCAUGGGAAAUCAGGACUGUCACUUUGAAAAAAUUAGAGUGUUUAAAGCAGGCUCACGCUUGAAUACAUUAGCAUGGAAUAAUGAAAUAGGACGUUUGAUUCUAUUUUGUUGGUUUCUAGGAUCGACGUAAUGAUUAAUAGGGAUAGUUGGGGGCAUUAGUAUUCAAUUGUCAGAGGUGAAAUUCUUGGAUUUAUUGAAGACUAACUACUGCGAAAGCACUUGCCAAGGAUGUUUUCAUUAAUCAAGAACGAAAGUUAGGGGAUCGAAGACGAUCAGAUACCGUCGUAGUCUUAACCAUAAACUAUGCCGACUAGGGAUCGGAUGAUGUAAUUUUUAAUGA
rnacentral:rRNA from 1 species